AGGAUAUUAAUUUAAUAAAAAAUUUUUAAAUUGCAUUUAAAUAAUGAUAUUAAUUAUCAUAUCUUA
rnacentral:tRNA from 1 species